rnacentral:tRNA from 1 species
ACUUAGUUGGUAGAGUGCAAAGCUCUUAACCUUGUGGGCGUGGGUUCAAGCCCCAU